UACGAAGGGGGCUAGCGUUGCUCGGAAUCACUGGGCGUAAAGGGUGCGUAGGCGGGUUUUUAAGUCAGAGGUGAAAUCCUGGAGCUCAACUCCAGAACUGCCUUUGAUACUGAAAAUCUUGAGUAUGGGAGAGGUGAGUGGAACUGCGAGCGUAGAGGUGAAAUUCGUAGAUAUUCGCAAGAACACCAGUGGCGAAGGCGGCUCACUGGCCCGAUACUGACGCUGAGGUGCGAAAGCGUGGGGAGCAAACAGG
rnacentral:rRNA from 1 species